GAUGAACGCUGGCGGCGUGCCUAACACAUGCAAGUCGAACGGAGUCGUUUUGGAAAUCUCUUCGGAGAUGGAAUUCUCGACUUAGUGGCGGACGGGUGAGUAACGCGUGAGCAAUCUGCCUUUAAGAGGGGGAUAACAGUCGGAAACGGCUGCUAAUACCGCAUAAAGCAUUAAAUUCGCAUGUUUUUGAUGCCAAAGGAGCAAUCCGCUUUUAGAUGAGCUCGCGUCUGAUUAGCUAGUUGGCGGGGUAACGGCCCACCAAGGCGACGAUCAGUAGCCGGACUGAGAGGUUGAACGGCCACAUUGGGACUGAGACACGGCCGAGACUCCUACGGGAGGCAGCAGUGGGGAAUAUUGCGCAAUGGGGGAAACCCUGACGCAGCAACGCCGCGUGAUUGAAGAAGGCCUUCGGGUUGUAAAGAUCUUUAAUCAGGGACGAAACAAAUGACGGUACCUGAAGAAUAAGCUCCGGCUAACUACGUG
rnacentral:rRNA from 1 species